rnacentral:rRNA from 2 species
AGUCGAACGAACUCUGGUAUUGAUUGGUGCUUGCAUCAUGAUUUACAUUUGAGUGAGUGGCGAACUGGUGAGUAACACGUGGGAAACUUGCCCAGAAGCGGGGGAUAACACCUGGAAACAGAUGCUAAUACCGCAUAACAACUUGGACCGCAUGGUCCGAGUCCUGAAAGAUGGCUUCGGCUAUCACUUUUGGAUGGUCCCGCGGCGUAUUAGCUAGAUGGUGGGGUAACGGCUCACCAUGGCAAUGAUACGUAGCCGACCUGAGAGGGUAAUCGGCCACAUUGGGACUGAGACACGGCCCAAACUCCUACGGGAGGCAACAGUAGGG